GGAGAAUUAUUAAAUUCAGCAAAGAAACUGGUGAAAAUCUAUGCUGUACAUUUAAUUGAGUUUAUAGAAGUUGAGUGAGAUGGAACAACAUACCAACACCCUUGUUCCCUCCUUUAAAAUAUUGAGUCUUGGGUCUUAGGAACAAACCUAACUUAGGAACAAACAAUACUUUAAUAAAGUUCUGAGAUAGACCUUGAAGUUAGGCAAAACUGCAAUAAUGAUCAAAUAUUAGUUUUACACUGAGUGGUGCUGGAAAUCAAGGGUGGUGGUUCAUGGGUGGGGGAAUGGGAAGAACGGUUCAAGGGAAUGACAUAUCUGUAUUAUGUAUAUUUGGGGGUUUUUUUGUUCUUUUUACUUUCUGUAUUUCUUUUUUCCAUUCGUCAAAUAUCUUCCAAUUUUCUAUUACCGGUACGUUUUGAAACAAAAACAUCAUUUUGGGGAGGAGAUUCAUUUUAACUGCAGCUAUCCUUCCCAAUAAGGAUAGAUUUAAAUUUUUCCAAUUUGGUAAUUCCUUUUUUAUCUCCUUCCAUUUUUCCAAAUAGUUGUUUUUUAACAGCUGUAAAUUUCUAGGUGUAAUCCAGAUCCCUAAAUAUUUUAGUUUCUCAACAGUAUUUAUUCCUGAUAUCUCUUGUAAUUCUAUUUGAUUCUUUUUAGAAAUGUUCUUUGUUAGCAUAAUUGUCUUUUCUUUAUUGAGUUUAAAACCUGUUAAUUCUCCGUAUUCUUCAAUUUUAUAAAUCCAUUUGCCAAUUGUUUCUCUUGUGUUUUCAAUAAUACAAAUAACAUCAUGCUUUUGUUUUGAACUCUUGUUUUAAUAUCCUUAAUCUGACCAACAAAUAAUCUACAGAAGAGUCUAGCUCUUCAUACACCUGCAGCCCCAGUACCUGGAACUCAAUGUACAGAGCUCAGCUAACAGGCAAGGCUAACACGGGUGUUUUGUUAGACAGCAUAAGGUGUGCUUGUGUAUCUUGAGUUGAACAUCCCCAGCUCCAUAAUUGUUUAGUUGGAGUAAGGCUAUUUGUUUGUAUGAGUUCAAUAUAAGUUAGUGUGCUUGUUAGUAUGUGUGGGGGAGGAGAGGAAGUGGACACUUUUGCCAACCCACGAAAAAGCGCACAAGAGCAAUUGCCACCCUGUGGAGCAGUAAGCAGGAUAGCUCCAGAUGACAGGCCUUCUGAAAUGAUACAUUG
rnacentral:lncRNA from 1 species